CCACCAGAUGCUUUGGAGAUGAUGACCAACACAUCUUUCACUACUGACCAACUGAACUUUCACUCAAUGUGCUUUUGGGGAGAGGAGCAGAGAUGGGGGCUGUGGUCUCCUUCGGAGCCCUGGGGAGUUCAGAGGUGCUCUGCAAAGUGCUUCUCAGGAUUACUUCGAGGUUGGGGUUGGUGUCUCCAGGCACACACAGCCUGUCCAUCAGCUCCAGCCCGCACUGGAUCGGGCCCAGGAUGCAUCAUCGCAGGUGCAAUGUGCAGUGUGAGUCUUUGUAUAUGGGGCUGUGUUACCAAACCUAAUUUGAUCAAUUUGGAAAAGAAGUGGAGAUAGAGUCAGCAGCAAGAAUAUGACAGUCACUUUUGGCUCAAAACUACAGGAAUAACAUCUAGAUUGCACCAAGACCUUCCCAGCCAACCUGCAGUCCUUUGGUGCCCAGGUUGCAAUGUUUCUGGACCACUUACCACUUCUGUGGACAGUGGAAGUGCAAGAGAUUUCCCUACAUGCUGUACAAGGGAUCAUCACAUUCACUGCCUCAUGACUGAAGACACUGACAUCUUGACUUGCUCCUCUUGUCUCAGAAAACUUUUUCUGUAACCUAAUAGAAUAACCCCCCAGUUGGA